rnacentral:snRNA from 1 species
GUGUUUACUUUGGCAGCACAUAUACUAAAAUUGGAAUGAUACAGAGAAGAUUAGCAUGGCCCCUAUGCAAGGAUGACAUGCAGAUUUGUGAAACGUUUCACAUUUAA